GGCGACGUAGCCAAGUGGUAAGGCAGGGGUCUGCAAAACCCCCAUACCCCGGUUCGAAUCCGGGCGUCGCCUCCA
rnacentral:tRNA from 1 species